AAAAUGAUUCCCCUAGUAACGGCGAGUGAAGAGGGAAAAGCUCAGAGUUGGAACCUGGUGGGCAUAGCUCACCCGGAUUGUAAACUAAAGUUUUUGAGUCGUUUAGUCAGCCAGGUAAAUAAGUCCUCUGGAAAGGGGCGACAUAGAGGGUGAAAUCCCCGUCUUUGGCCUGAGUUUUGAUUAGGCGUUUGGCUUGGAAACGAAGAGUCAGGUUGUUUGGGAAUGCAGCCUAAAAUGGGAGGUAAAUCUCUCCUAAAGCUAAAUAUUGACGAAAGACCGAUAGCGAACAAGUACCGUGAGGGAAAGAUGAAAAGCACUUUGAAAAGAGGGUCAAAAAGUACGUGAAAUUGCUGAAAGGGAACCGUAUGAAAUCAGACUUACUGGUAGGUAAUCAAUCUUUCCCUUGGGAAGGAUGCACUUGCCUGCUAUGUACGCCAGCGACAUUUUGGUUGUGGAGGAAAAAAAUAGUUGGAAUGUAGCCUGGGUUUCGGCUUAGGUGUUAUAGACUACUAUAAAAUACUCUCGGCUAGAAUGAGGAACGCAGCACACCGUAAGGCGAAGAUUUUAGGCGCUUGGGGGGAAUCAUUAGAGAAUUUCUGCUUCGGGGUGGUGCUUUAGUGAUUUCGUUCAACUCGCUUGAAUCUCUUUUUAUUUGCUUAGGUUGUUGGCUUAAUGAUUUUAUAUGACGAGAAAAGACGGCAAAACAAAACAAAA
rnacentral:rRNA from 1 species